CAGUUGUAACUCAUGAUAUCUGUCACCCAGUUUCUGAAAAUAGAUUUCUCUGGGUACUCCGGCUUCAUCCCACAAUUCCAAAAACAUGCACAUUAGAUUAAUUGGAUACUCUGUAUUGCCCCUAGGUGUGAGUGUGUGUGGUUGUCUGUCUUUGUGUGUUAGCUCUGCUAUUGACUGGCAAUCAGUCCAGCCCAUUAUUAGCUGGGAUGUGUUCCAACCUCCCGCAACCCUGCAUUAAGUAUAGGUAGAAUUUAAUGUAUAUGUUAUUGUAACAGGGAUAAUAAAAUGUCCCAGUGUGUGAAGGGGACGUGAACGCAUCUGUUCACGUGUUUGCUCGUGAGACUACGAGUGGCCAAUCACGGCGCUUGCAGCGCCUGUUACAAGCUGUCUGUGCCGGCUCCCACGUAGAGGUGUGGGAGAAGGCUGCGGACUGGUGCAGCAGGUGGGAUUAUUUAGAUAAAUAUUCGUUUCAUCGCAUAUCGGUUGUAAUCCUAAUGCUUAUUGAUGAUUGUACAACUAGAUCAAAUGCCAACUACUGCGAGGGUAGACGCCGUUUGGUCGCACGUUGUGUCGGCUGUACAAGAGGAAUUGGCCAGGUUCACCUGGUUGUGGUGAUAAACUGAUGGCGAGCUACUGAACUGCCCGGAGUUGAAGACCCAGCUUUUCCUGAUGAUCUGUUUGAGAUGCCACCACGAAUCAGCCAUCUUAAGGAUGCAAGUCAUCAUGUUGUUUCGAAGUCUGACAAAACAACCAAAUUAGAGGUGAAGUACGUAAUUGCAGUAAAAGGUAUGGUUGAGUAUGAUGUGAUUAAUCCGUUUCAAAUUAGUUACUAUCUGGUGAAAUCUAGACACAUAUGAAAGAAUGGAUAGGCUAUCCUGUUCUGUUGAAAAUGUGUUUGUUGUCUUUUACAGGGCGUGGUAUAUUUGCAAAGAGUUCAAUUUGCAAAGGAGAUUUUGUUGUCAAAUAUAGGGGAGAUAGGAUAAAUGAUGCAGAAUCCCAGAGAAGAAAAAAACUUUACCAUCCGUCAUGUACUGCUUUCAUGUUUGCCUUCAAGUGGUGAGGGAAAACAUGGUGGACUUCCAAUUGUGCAUGUACUACACCAUUUUAUAUUAUACUACACUCUAGUAGACCAAGUGAGGCUUUGAUUUUGCAGUGAUAUAUUGUGUUGUUUGUAUUCCCAAUUUUCUUCUUCUUUUUAAGUAUUGAUGGAUCGUUCGGACGGCUAGUCAAUGAUGACCACAGAUCUGCAAACUGUAAGAUGAAAAGUGAAUGGAAACCCACACCUUUGUCUGUUUGCCCUGAACGACAUUAAAGAAGGAGAAGAAAUUACCUAUGACUACAGAGGUGAUGACUGCCCUUGGAGAACACAAACGACCGGCAUUACAGCUAACAACAUGGUGGAGGCUGACUCCCAUUCUUCCCCCCUGUCAGAGACUCAGACGGAUGAUGCAACUGGUGCAAACAACACUCCUCAACAGAUGGUGACAGAAUUCCCAAAUGAAGAUGACACUUUUGUACCAACACUGAGACGGACCAAAAGUAUCAUAAAACAUCACCCCAAACAUCCAACAAGACAUGAACCACCACGACCAUCCAAAAGACGUGAACCACCAUCAUCAGAAAAUGAGAUAUCUUCAGGAGUUAGUGCUGUGAAGCCUUUCUCCAAAGGUAAAGCCCCCCUGAAGAAGAAGAAGACUCCCUGGCAGCAGACAGAGGUGCAGGCCAUGGAAAGGCACAUGAAUCGAUUCAUCACAUCUUGUGUUGUACCAGGAAAGAGUCACUGUGAGAAGUGUUUAAAGGCUGAACCAGAAGCUCUUAAGAACCGGGACUGGCAGACCCUGAAGUUCUACGUUUACAACAGAAUAACAGCCUACAAAUGGAAAUUUCAGCGUGAAUAGUUUGAAUGUCACCAACUAUCUGGUAGGGCAUUUUUUUUCUCCAUGUCUAAAAACAGGUUCUGCAUUUUGCAUUUGAUUUUUGUUUAAAAGAGUUUGAUUGGUUCAUUUGCCCUGAGUUUGUUAAUAUAGUUGAACUCAUUGAAAUUUGAGAUCUGCAAUCUAAAUGUGAGUUUAAUAUUUUGUUCAAUUAUUAGUAGUCAUUUUGUUAAGGUGGCACUACGUGACAAGUGAUGAAGUCAACCACCCAGGAUCAGCUAACUCUUGCUUGCGGUGCUGGGUGGUUGACUGUGAUUAAACAUAUAAUAGAAUAGUAAGGAUAUCAAUUAGUCAAACGUAAAUUUUCCUAUAUAUGUUAUAAAGAUGAUUAUAUAUAUAUAUAUAUAUAUAUACACGUCUUCUGAUAUACUAGUCUAUCGUCUCAUCAAGCUAAACACUAAAAACUCAUAGUUUCAGUUGCCAUCGUAUAUGCUACAUUAUGUAUAACAGUGCUUAUGAAUUUAGCAUUCAUUAGCAGGCACCUAAUCCUGAUAAAAUUAAGUUAAAAAGUCCCAGUGGUUUUACUAUCUUGGUGUGUUUCAAAGUCAUAAUUGGUUAGUUUUGCUGAAAAGCAGCCAGAGAGGAGAUCUUCUUCAUCUUCAUCUUCUUCACUAUCAAUCAUACUACACAUACAGUGAAGGACCCUGAAGGAAUGAACACAUUAAAAAAACACAAAAUAAGACAUUUAUUCAGUGAGCACCAGUCAGUACAAGCGUUCUUUUUCCUCAGAAGCUCAAGUUUUGUUUAAACAGUGAAACAAUCAAACAUCAGGACAACUAAUUUUUGAAAAUCAAAACUUUUCAAACAUUGUAUACCUUUUUCAGCCAGACCAUCUUUAUAGGCAGAACUGCAUUUCAGUCAACACUUGGUGAGAGAAAAUCUUAAGUCAUUAAGUGUGCAUCAUACAAAAUCUACCUCUACUGAGUAAAAAACAUUUGGACAAUAACGCACGCAUAUAUGUACAUGUUCCAACUUCAUCAAUAUCCAAACAUGAACUAGAUUUUCACUCUGUAUUCUGCUACUGCAUAAAUUAAUGAAUACCACACAUUGAUUUCAACUAUAAUGCUAAUGCUAAAGCACUGAUGUUAAUGUUGAGACUAGUUCAGAUUACUUUAUUUCAAGCAAAGUUCAGGUGAAACAAUGCUAUAUUAUUCUUAUUUGGGCAAUCAGAUUUUAUUAUUGGAUUAUGGGAUACUAAUAAGUAAGGCAUUAAAGGAUAAACUUGUAAAAUAUGGCCAGAAUUUGACAGUAGCCUCAAAAAUGUAGUGGGCAGCAUAUCACCAUAGCAACUGCCAGUUUCUGCUCACCAUAUCCUGUUUGCAGUUAUUGUAUUUGGCUGUAGCUAUAGCUGUCAUUAGUUAGCAGCUGAGUUAGUGGCCCUGUAGCUAACAGGUUUGUAUCUAGAUCAUGUCCUCGAAUUGUGGGUAGAGUCACUACAGACAACUUAGCAGUCUUUCAAUAACACCAGAAUGGGACCAGACUCUGAGACUGACAAAGGCCAGUUUGAGGACAGGGGAUACGCCAUGGACGGGGUUUACAGAGGCUCUGACGAGGACUGUGAUUCGAGAACGAGGAGACAUGCAGAUGUGGAAAGAAGAGAGAUGAAGCCACAGGGAAGAAUGACAGACCUGGCAGGACAAAACAUGUAGAAAAUCUGAACUCAGUAUUGAUUUCAACCAAUCCAUAGGUGAGGUGUGGAAAGGCAAAACAAGUGAAGUACACCUUAACUCGCAUGGCCAUAUUUUACAAAUUCCACCUUUCAAAUAAUAUAUGUUUUCAUCUUGCAUGACUAAUUCCUUUAUUUAUUACUAUUAUUAACAUUAGAAAUCUCUACGUUCAACAGGUAGAGAAGAUUUUAGUGGUAAGAAGUCUUUGUUUGGUAAAUUCCUGCAAAAAAUGGAGGAAAAGUGAAUAAUGAUGUGAUCAGAUGGAUUUUCUAGGAAGAAAUCAUUUACAUACAGUGGAUUUACAUCCAAAACAUUACAGUACGAAAUGGACACUGAUGACUGACAUAAGAAUGUAAGUCAGGUAGAAAGACUGAUAAAAGAAAUAGUUCAUUCUGUGUGUACAGUAAACGCUGUGUUUCCUAAUGAUUCACACUGUGUUCAUACAUAAAGGUAGGUAAAGGUAGUCUGAUGUUAUUCUUUAUUUCUCUUAUUGUCAAUAAAUCCCAUUUAAAGAAAUCCAACAUUGUAUGUAUCCCACUAAUAAGUAUUGUACUCUUUAUCACAGAACUCCAUUGUCAUUCAAAAACUAUUGAAAACUUCUACUUUGGGUGAUGUUUUCCAAUUUUACCUUCUUAAUUCUUCCAGUUAUUAAUUCUGUCAGUACUACACAUACCAUUCUGCUGCUGUAGUAGAGCACCAAAUAUAGAUUAAUCUGCUGCUGAAAAUAGUACUACUAAUUCAAAUUUACUAUUAUUUCUGUUUAAGUCACAUAUGAUUAAAAAAAAAAAAAAAAAAAACAAAAUCAGUGGAAAUGACCUUGAAUGACCCAUUUUCAAAGAUUUACAUCUCCAUAAAUGGUGGUGGGUCUGAGAGCCACAGACAGGUUAGAAAAGUUGGAAAGUGUUGUGAAAUGGACUAAAAUCGUUACAGUGGAUCUUUUCGUGGGGUUUGUUGACAGUAACAGAAAUAUAAAAUGUUGCCAGGCCUUUUCCUUUGAAAAGAAAUCAUCCUAAAUGACUCACAGUCUGAUUUAUUUCUUUCAUAAGCUGCAGUGUUAAUCUAGCCUUCUUCUUCACAAGUCACAGCUAGGUUUGAUACACAUUUGGUUCUAAACCACAACGCAUGCUAAUAUUUAAUGAGACUGAAAUCAGUAAAUAUAUCAUGUUCGCUUCAAAAUUCUGUUCCAUCAAAUUCAAAAAAAUCACAUGAAUCGUUAACAGUAUUAACUACAAUAUCUUGUUUCCCUGCAAAGGAAAUUGAACACCAUUUUAUAUCAAUGGUUUGGCAAGUUUAAUAAACCAGGAUGUAUAUUUCAAAUCACAGCUAAUCAUUUACAAACCAUACUGUUUUUGAGUUUUCUUGUUAAUUUGCAUACUUUAGGGAAACAGAUAUAAACCUGACUGACACCUGUAGGAGAAAAUGUGAAGUAUAAAGGAUAUGUAGUUGUGGAGAUAGAACACUGCUAAGGUUAUUCAUGAACAUAAAUAACUUUACUCUGGACUAAAGAAUUGGAUGACACAUUGGCACUAAAAAUGAAACUAAACAUAGUGAAAGUAACUGAAAUGUGUGUGCCUGUUGCAUGUGUUGUGUUUAUUUUUCCAUGCCGAGUGUAGACGCCUGCUUCUGUAUGUUAGCAUGCGUGUGUUUUAUUUGCAUGCGUGCAUGUAUGAACACAAGUGCCUUUUGUCUGUUUACUCAAAUAUAAUUUCUAUGCAGUGAUACGUCGUCAUAAUGGCUGUAUGUGCCUGCACGUGUUUCCCAUUCAAAUUGAAACGUAUGUGAACCGUGUCGCAAUUUCAACUCUGCACUUUCAGCAUGCCUCAUGUGCGUGAGUGUGUGUGUGUGUGUGUGUGUGUGCGCAUGUGCUACCCCUGUCUCUUCAGGUCCUCUUUUGAUGUGUGUUCCCCACAUAUGUGUUCUCUAUACACAGCACAAUGUAGUGGUUGGAGCAGGAGCGAGUGUGUUGUCCUAACAGUCGUCCUGUCUGCAGCAGUGCAGCCUGGCCCAUCACUGCCAUGUCAGCCGUCCUCCAUGCUUCGCAGUAGUUAUUGGUCAGACGGAUACCCACAGCACUAGACCCAUGCCAUACCAGCUUCUCUGGCCUGGGGGGAAGAAGGUCUGCUGAGGGCCUGAGAUGCCGCUGAUGAAGAAGGUCCUUGAUGGAUCAACUCUCCAAGCUUGCUGUGAGGGACAUGUUCAGGAUCAAGAAAUCCACACAUCUAUUGAGACAGUGUCUGCACACACACCUGGAUCUUACGCCAGCCAUUGCGAGCUCUGAUGUACAGCUCUCCUCCCUUCUCAGACACAUAGACCAAGGUUCCCUCUGCAGCCCGGUUUCUUACCAGGUUAGCAUAUCCUGGAGAUCCAGGGGGGCCAGGAGGUCCAGGAGGUCCAGGGAUACUGACAGCUGAUGAUGACACACCAGAAAUACAUUUAAAAGAGCCAACACUGUCACUGUUGUGUAAAUUUGAAGUCUGUAACUUUUGGCCAAUAAUUUUUAUAGAUGUAAGCUGAGGUUUUCACUACUCUCUCGCCUUCACACAAACAUACUUGAUCC